rnacentral:lncRNA from 1 species
UCACGAUGAUGGCCCUGGCAGUGUUCCGGCGCCACCGAGAGAGAGGGGGAGAGCCCCCCUUCUUCUUCUUCCUUGACCUUCCCCCUAGAUGGGAGAAGGGUUUACCCUCUGGUCCAUGGUGUAACGCCCAUGAUGCGGCUAUAUCUCCCACAUGUCGGAGCACGACUUAGAGGCAUAACCGCAUUGUAAGCAAUGUCGCAAGUGAGGUAAUCUUCACACAACCCAUGUAAUGAAUAAGAAAAGAGGUACAUAGUUGGCUUACAAUCGCCACUUCACACAAUACAUGAAUAAAGCAUUACAUCAUCCAGAUACAAUCAAGGUCCGGCUACGGAACCAAAAUAAUAGUAGACUACCCCAAAUGCUAUAGAUCCCCGAUCGUCCCAACUGGGCUCCACUACUGAUCAACUGAAACGAAACAACACAAUGAACGAGAUCUUCAUCGAGCUCCUCCUUGACCUCGGUUGAGUCACCUGCACGGUUUCAUCGGCACCUGCAAGCUGGUUUUGGAAGUAUCUGUGAGUCACGGGGACUCAGCAAUCUCACACCCUCGCGAUCAAGACUAUUUAAGCUUAUAGGAAGGGUAAAAGUACGAGGUGGAGCUGCAGCAAGCGACUAGCAUAUAUGGUGGCUAACAUACGCAAAUGAGAGCGGGAAGAGAAGGCAAAGCACGGAUCGAGAAACUAUGAUCAAGAAGUGAUCCUAGAACAACCUAUGUCAAGCAUAACUCCAACACCGUGUUCACCUCCCGGACCCCGCCGAGAAGAGACCAUCACGGCUACACACGCGGUUGAUGUAUUAUAAUUAAGAUCAACUUCAGGUUUUCUACAACCGGACAUUAACAAAUUCCCAUCUGCCCAUAACCGCGGGCACGGCUUUCAAAAGUUCAAAUCCCUGCAGGGGUGUCCCAACUUAGCCCAUCACAAGCUCUCAUGGUCAAUGAAGGAUAUUCCUUCUCCCAAGACAAUCCGAUCAGACUCAGCAUCCCGGUUACAAGACAACCUCGACAAUGGUAAAAAAAGUCCAGCAAGACCACCCGCUGUGCCGACAAAUCCCGAUAUGAGCUGCACAUAUCUCGUUCUCAGGGCACACUGGAUAAGCUAAGCAUACGGGAGCCAACGUAACCCAAGUUGCCAAGGGAUGGCCCCGCAUGGUGCUCUGGGUUGGACCAACACUUAGAGAAGCAUUAGCACGGGGGUUUAAAUAAAGAUGACCCUUGAGUCGGCCGACCCAAGGGAAAGAAAAGGCUAGGUGGAAAAUGGUAAAACCAAUGUUGCGCCUUGCUGGAGGAGUUUUAUUCAAGGCGAACUGUCAAGGGGUUCCUAUUAUAACCCAACCGUCUAAGGAACGCAAAAUCAAGGAACAUAACACCGGUAUGACGGAGACUAGGGCGGCAAGAGUGAAACAAAACACCAGGCAUAAGGCCGAGCCUUCCACCCUUUACCAAGUAUAUAGAUGCAUUAAGUAAAUAAGAUAUAUUGUGAUAUCCCAACAAAUAAUCAUGUUCCAACAUGGAACAAACUCCAAUCUUCACCUGCAACUAACAACGCUAUAAGAGGGGCUGAGCAAAGCGGUAACAUAGCCAAACAACGGUUUGCUAGGACAAGGUGGUUAGAGGCUUGGCUUAGCAAAUGGGGGCAUGAUUAUGCAAGUGGUAGGUAUCGCAGCAAAGACAUAGCAAUAGAGCGAGCAUCUAGCAAGCAAAGAUAGAAGUGAUUUCGAGGGUAUGGUCAUCUUGCCUGAGAUCCCGCAAGGAAGAAGAACGAGCCCAUGAAGAAGACAAACGAACAUAGUCGAGCGGAUCCUCACAAAUGCGGCGUUAUCGGAACCAACCCGAAGAAGCAACACCGGAAAGAAGCACACAACAUAGUAAACAACCACUACAACAACAUGGCAUGAUGCACAACAAGUAUGAUGCAUGUCCGGUUGAAUGAAGCAUGGCAUGGCAAAGUGCACAAACAGUCCUACAAAUUAAGUGGAGCUCAUUAUGCAACGGAGUUGCAUAUUGAAGAAAACACCACAUGACUUAUUUAGUUCUCUCUCGUUUAUGUAUCCAACAAUAUUAAAUGUUGUUAAACAUGGCAAGAGGGUGAAGCAAAGAAAACUACCUAUCUAGUCAAGUUUAAAUGAGGCCGGAAACAACAAACAACAAUUCCGGACAAUCCUCAUAUGCAUAUAGUAGGUUUGUUACUGUUCUGCCCUAAACCAUAUUUUAGAGUUGUUUAACAUGCAAAGUAAAGUCACUACGUUAAAUUAGGCAUUUUUCUACCCCAUUUACAUAUAAAGUUUGUUAGGUUUGGAGCUACGGUUAUUAAGUUAUGAAAUAAAUCAUUUUAACAAGUUAUUUAAGCAAUUUAAAUAAACAACAUUUUAAACAUUUCAAACGUGGAUGAAAGUGGCAUAUUAUUAAACUAGAUGAAAUUCUAAGCAAGUUUCAUAUUAAGUUUGUUUUAAUAUGAUGCACCGUAUGUGAGUUAUUAUAUGCAUGUUGUCUAGGGGCUUUUUUGUAAAACUGCAAACUCUGGGAUAAAAGGAAAAAACACAACAGAAAAAAAAACACGCAUGGGCCAAAACUGGGCAGCCCAAUAGUGCAGGGGGGGCUCGGGUGCUGCUCACCACGGGCCUCCGCCCAAAACUGUGGCGAGGAGGAGGCCGGCAGGGGGCGCGCUGGGCCGGCCUGCUCGGCUCGAUUGAAAGGUCAACGCAGCCUGGUGCGGCGCUCGUCGUCUCGUUUCAGUGUAGCGAGCUGCGGCGGCGCCUAGAGCAGAGCUCCGACGAGAGGGCAAAGUGGCGGCGAGGCGAGGGACUUGGCGUGGAGCGGUGACAGGACUUGCGGCGGCGGGCGAACAGGGAAGGCCUGCGAGGACCAGUCUCCGGUGGAGCCGCGAGGAACUUGGCGUGCGGGCGCAGCGAUGGCGAAGGAAACGUGC